AGUGAACGCUGGCGGUAUGCCUAACACAUGCAAGUCGAACGACAGCACAGUAAGAGCUUGCGCUUACGGGUGUCGAGUGGCGGACGGGUGAGGAAUACAUCGAAAUCUACUUUUUCGUGGGUGAUAACGUAGGGAAACUUACUCUAAUACAGCAUACGACGUACUUGUGAAAGCAGGGGAUCUUCGGACCUUUUGCGAGGGUAUGAGCCUAUGUCGGAUUAGCUAGUUGGCGGGGUAAAGGGACACCAAGGCUACGAUCCGUAGAUGCUCUGAGAGCAUGAUUCGAUAGCUUGGCAGUGAGACACGGCAGACACACUUAGGGGAGGACGCAGUGGGGAAUAUUACGGGAGGCGGCAAAGGGUGAUACAGGACUAUCGGGUGAGUGAUGAAGGACUUAGGGUUGUAAAGCGAUGUAGUUGGGAAAGAAAAAAAGCACGUUUACCCCCGGCUGUUAUGACGGUACCGAAAGAAUAAGCUCCGGCUAACUCCGUG
rnacentral:rRNA from 1 species